CUACGGGUUGCUCCAGUGGGGAAUAUUGGACAAUGGGCGCAAGCCUGAUCCAGCAAUGCCGCGUGAGUGAAGACGGCCUUAGGGUUGUAAAACUCUUUCGCUAGGGAAGAUAAUGACUGUACCUAGUAAAGAAGUCCCGGCUAACUCCGUGCCAGCAGCCGCGGUAAUACGGAGGGGGCUAGCGUUGUUCGGAAUUACUGGGCGUAAAGAGAUCGUAGGCGGACUGACAAGUUAGAGGUGAAAUCCCAGGGCUCAACCCUGGAACUGCCUUUAAAACUGUCAGUCUAGAGACCGGAAGAGGUUAGGGGAAUACCUAGUGUAGAGGUGAAAUUCGUAGAUAUUAGGUGGAACACCAGUGGCGAAGGCGCCUAACUGGUCCGGUACUGACGCUGAGGAACGAAAGCGUGGGGAGCAAACAGGAUUAGAUACCCCUGUAGUC
rnacentral:rRNA from 1 species